GUAGUGCAAUCGCUUUAUCAUACAUCACUAACAGCAGAGAAAGGAGAUGAGUUUUCUACUGUUACUUCUAUCAGUUGUACUAGUAGUAUCUACAUUGACUGGAUCUACUAACAAUUACUACAAUGAACCUACUGGCAAUAAAGGAUCAUACACAGAUUGUUCUAUUACUCAUGAUUUUGUUAUCAUAACUAAUGUAUCAUUCAACAAAACAAUUAAACGAGGACAGAGUUAUGAUGUCCAAGCUGGAGUCAUGAAUUUAAAAAAGAAACUGCAAGGGGGUAUAGUGCAUAUAAUCGUAACACAUCAAUACAAAAAUUACAUAAACCUUACUUUUGUGGAUGCUAAGUAUAAUCUCUGUGACAUGGUUGUCUCUAUUACUGGUAUGUACUGCCCACUGAAGCCUGGAAUAUAUCAUUAUGGAAAAUUUGAGAAUAGAAUUCCAUCACUUUACUGGCCGGGCAAGUAUCAUUUAAAAGCUUUGGCUUAUGAUCAGAAUGAUGAUGAAAUAUUUUGUGGAAUGAUGGAAGUUGAUAUAAAAUGACAUUAAUUUUUGUAAUAAUUAGCUGCUUAAAAAUAAUAUUAGUCAUUUAAUAACAGUAGAUCCAUUCAUUAAUUAAUGUUAUUUUAACUGAAAGACAGGAAAUAUACACAGACCUGGAACAGUUGUUAAAGUUUAUGAUAGAAUACUAAGAAUAGACAGAAGAUGAGUGUUCUCCUACUGAUCAUCCUAACAGUUAUACCUAGUCUACCAACAUCGACUGGAUCUACUAACAAUUACUACAAUGACCCUACUGGUAAUAAAGGAUUCACAGAUUGUUCUAUUACUCAUGAUUUUGUUAUCAUAACUAAUUUAUCAUUCAACACAACAAUUAAACGAGGACAGAGCUAUGGUGUCCAAGGAGUCAUAAAUUUAAAAAAGAAGUUGCAAGGGGGCAUGUUGCAUGUAACUAUAACACAUCCAUUCAAAAAUUAUACAAACCUUACUUUUGUGGAUGUUAAGUAUAAUCUCUGUGACAUGAUUGUCUUCUCUACUGGUGAAUACUGCCCAAUGAAGCCUGGAGUAUAUCAUGGAAAAUUUAAGAAUACAACUCCAUCACUUCUCUGGCCAGUCAGUAACAAACACAGUGUAUAUAAUCAAUUCAUGAUUAUUAAUAAUUUUAAUU